rnacentral:rRNA from 1 species
UACAGAGGUCUCAAGCGUUGUUCGGAUUCAUUGGGCGUAAAGGGUGCGUAGGUGGCGAGGCAAGUCAGGUGUGAAAUCCCAGGGCUCAACCCUGGAACUGCACUUGAUACUACUUUGCUUGAGUACUGGAGAGGAGAUUGGAAUUUACGGUGUAGCAGUGAAAUGCGUAGAUAUCGUAAGGAAGACCAGUGGCGAAGGCGAAUCUCUGGACAGUUACUGACACUGAGGCACGAAGGCCAGGGGAGCAAACGGG